GGGAUAUUAAUUCAAUAUCACCUAAUCCAAUGUAAUCCAAUAUAGGUAAGCAAACGAGGCCUAAAGUGAUUAUAAAAAUAUUACUUUGAUUGAUUAUAAAAAAAGAAAUUGUGAUUAAUUUGAGGCUCAGAUCUGUAAACUGGGGGCAAGAGAACCCGACCACGCCAUGGCUGCAAGAAAAAAAAAUCACCGGUUGCAAAUCACAUGCCAUCCGGGCUGCCCCGCCAAGAUACGGGCCGGGUUUCUCGAAGCCCCAUAUUGUAGGCUCAGAGGAAUUGCUAGAAAAAAAUAAUCAUCACAGCCUCUUUCUUUUCGAGAACAACACAACAACAACAACAAUUUUGCACCAGAAAAAAACAAAAACAAGAAGAAAAAGAUGCAUGAUUCUGUUAGAGAGCGCUAGCUGUACACGCAGUUGGAGAGAGGAUGGAUUAUGACCGUCGGAUUGAAACCGAGAUUAUAUCUAUCAUCUAUCCAUCUCUCUAUACAUACACACAUAUGUUAAAGGGCUGUUUGGUUGGAUAAUUUAGAAAAAUAAUCAUGGGGUUAGAGGAAGGGGUAACCACCCUUUGAAAAAAUCCAAAUCCUCCCUCUACCCUUCAGAUCUUUUUCCUCUGAGCAUCAAUAAUCCUUCCAGCAGAC
rnacentral:lncRNA from 1 species